rnacentral:rRNA from 1 species
AGAGUUUGAUCCUGGCUCAGGAUGAACGCUAGCGGUGCGCCUAACACAUGCAAGUCGAGCGGGAGUAUUUCUUAGCUUGCUAAGAGAUACAAUAGCGGCGAACGGGUGAGUAAUAUGUUGAUAUCUACGUUUUGGUCAGGGAUAGUAAAGAGAAAUUUUUAGUAAUACCGGAUAGUCUCGAAAGAGUAAAGAUUUAUUGCCAAGACAGGAGUCUGCAUCCUAUCAGUUAGUUGGUGAGGUAAAGGCUUACCAAGACAAUGACGGGUAGCUGGUCUGAGAGGAUGAUCAGCCACAAUGGAACUGAGACACGGUCCAUACUCCUACGGGAGGCAGCAGUGAGGAAUCUUCCACAAUGGGGGCAACCCUGAUGGAGCGACACCGCGUGAAGGAAGAAGGCCUAACGGUGUAAACUUCUUUUCUGAAGGAGCAUAAUGAGAGUACUUCAGGAAUAAGGGACGGCUAAAUACGUGCCAGCAGCGCGGUAAUACGUAUGUCUCAAGCGUUAUCCCGAAUUACUGGGUGUAAAGGGUUUGUAGGUGGUGAAAUAAGUUGGAUAUGAAAGACCGGAGCUUAACUUCGAGUUUGUAUUCAAAACUGUUUUACUAGAAUUAGGGAGAGGUAAGCGGAAUUCUAAGUGUAGGGGUGCAAUCCGUAGAUACUUAGAAGAACACCAAAAGCGAAGGCAGCUUACUGGAACUAUAUUGACGCUGAAAAACGAAAGCGUGGGGAGCAAAAAGGAUUAGAUACCCUUGUAGUCCACGCCCUAAACGUUGAUAACUUAGUGUUGGAGAGAGAUCUUCAGUGCUGAAGCUAACGCGAUAAGUUAUCCACCUGAGGAGUACGGUCGCAAGAUUAAAACUCAAAGGAAUAGACGGGGACCCACACAAGCAGUGGAUCACGUGGUUUAAUUCGACAAUAAACGGGGAAUCUUACCCAGACUUGACAUCUAUAGAAUCUUAUAGAAAUAUGAGAGUGCCUGUAAAGGAACUAUAAGACAGGUGCUGCAUGGUUGUCGUCAGCUCGUGCCUUGAGGUGUUCGGUUAAGUCCGUUAACGAGCGCAACCCAUGUUGUUAGUUAUAUUUUCUAACAAGACUGCCUAGGUUAACUAGGAGGAAGGUGUGGAUGACGUCAAAUCAGCAUGGCUUUUACGUCUGGGGCUACACACAUGAUACAAUGGUAUAUACAAAUAGCAGCAAUAUGGUAACAUAGAGCCAAUCUUAAAAGUAUAUCUCAGUCCGGAUUGAGGGCUGCAACUCGCCCUCAUGAAGUUGGAAUUGCUAGUAAUCGUAAAUCAGACAUGUUACGGUGAAUAUGUUCCUGGGUCUUGUACUCACCGCCCGUCACGGCAUGGGAGGUAAUAAUAUCGGAAGCUCCUCUAGUAAUAAGAGGGUCCAUGGUAGGAUUACUGACUGGGCUGAAGUCGUAACAAGGUAACC